ensembl:snoRNA snoRNA:Me18S-G962
ACAAUGAUGAUGAUCGUGAUUUUCAGGCACGGUGCCCCCAAAACGGAUAUGCAGCAUGAAAAGAGGCCCGAAACUGAUUAG